GCAAUCAUAAGUUAACGGUAAACUGCUUGUCUUCCAAACAAGAUUUGUUGGUUCAAAUCCGACUGGUUGUAC
rnacentral:tRNA from 1 species